rnacentral:lncRNA from 1 species
UUGGAUAUUUCUAUUAUCCAGAUGAGCUCGGCUACUAGGCUAUGUCUGAAUGAGAUUAUGAGCUCGUUAGCUGAGCCUUUUCCAUAUUGGCAAGUUGUGGACUCUUAUUGGGUUUUGCAUGUUGGAUUUGGCUCCGAUUUGAUGAAUUAUUUUUUCUUAUUUGGUGAAUGUAUUUUAUCUAUAAAGUAGUAAGUAAAUAGCUAUUCCUGGAAUAAUAAAGGAAUGUCGAAGUUGAUUCGGCUUUUUAUGGUGAAAAGAAAAAAGAUCAAUCCUUCUGUAUUUUGGAAUGCUAGAUAUAGGUACGGUGCUCGUAUUGUUUUCUUCACUUGAGUUAACUGCCCCACAUCAUUCCUGCUUCUUUAUUUUAUUUUCCCCAAAGAAGUUUAAAUAUGGGCUACGGUGCUCAUCAAAUGCAAUAGAUUUUGGAAAUUUAAACAAAGGUAUUUUCUGAUAUUACUAGAGGGCUACGGUGCUUGUGCUGGAGUUUUUACUGCCCCACCUAUCAAAUUGCGGUGGUCAUAUGCAAAGAAAAAUCACUAAAAAGAGUAUCAUCAAUAUUCCAAGAAAGACGGUCCUUCCAAAAUCAUCGAGUUAAUGGACCACAUACCGAUACUGACAUUAAUUGUGUUUUCUUAUGGAAUCACACUAUUGCCGCUCCCAACACGGCAAAGUGACUCAGGUGGUGAUUUUGUUGUGGUAGCUGGAGGUGGAGGAGUGAGGGAGGUUGGUGUGAUGGAUAUGGAGUUAUCAGUACUACUAGUUGUGCUCUCAUCUACGCAGCUUCCAUCCAUUUCUUUUUUGUUGUUGUUGUUGUUGUGAAGAGAGAGGAGCAAGCGAGACAGAGACAGAGAGGGAUGAGGUGUUUUUGUUGACUAGAACUAGAGGUAUGAUUUGAGAAUAUAUAUAGAUAGAGGGUAGAGGUGUUGGGUAAAGUUUUGGGCUUUUAAUUUUAAUUUUUGAUUUUAUGAGUUAAAUUAAGAAAUACGGGGUGGGGUGCACUGUGUAGUCUUGGGAAGAUUCAUGGAGUUAGGGUCGUAGUAUGUGUGUGUGUGUGUGGAGGGUUGUGUAUGUAGGUAGGGUGGGGCCUCCUUCUUAUUACCAUAGGCAUGCUGGAUAUUUUUCCAGGACAUUAAACCAAAACACUGUCAGUCUCGACUCAACUACUUCAAGGAAAGUUUGCCAAUUGCGUGUCUUGGAAGCAACCGGAUUAUCUACUCUAUGAAACAAAGGGCCUACAAGACGGGAAUGAGUCCAUGAAAAAGCCAUGCACUUAAUUCUUUCAUAAAUUUCGCAGGCAAGCAUUAGACGCAAACAUCGCCUACAAGACGCGAGCAAUUAUUUUCUACACGGUCUCUUUCCAUGAAAGGAUGGAUUGACUGCCUGGCCUUCUUAGUUUUCAAAUGCCACUGUUCGUGAUAAAAAAUAGAAUGCCUGUUCUUUAGGGUGACAGAUUGUUGAGACCAAUAAAAACAAACUGAGAAGUACGAGAAACCAAUGGUGGUGAAAUUUCAUGUUCUAUUUUUCACCCAUCAACUCACAUUGUUCAAGUUCCAUUUUAUUUGACGCUGCUUCACCAUGACAGUUGGCAUUGCAUUUCUUCAGUUCUUAAUUUUUGGUGCUAUGAAUUGCUUAACAGUGUAAGCUAGACAAUAAACACCGGUUUUGGACUUUCUCUACACCACAACUAUAUCAAUCUUUCAAGAUUACAGGUUCGAUCCCUUCAGAAAUUGGGAAUUCGAAGAAUUUGUAUGGACUUUCUCUACAUCACUGGUUCGAUUCCUUUUUCAUUAGACAAUUUAAGAAACUUGGCAUUUCUAUAUCUCUCUUAUAACCAAAUCAACGGAUCCAUCCCUUUGAAAAUAUGGAACUUGGCAAAUUUGAAAGCAUUAGAUCUCAGUUCAAACAAUAUCAGUGGUUCCAUUCAUAUCACAGUAGGCAGUUUAACUCAAGGUUCUCAAUUCCGUUCCGGUUUACAUUUUGUUUUUUCAAUUGAAAUGACAUGUUUCGCUUUCAAAGCAUUUCAACAUGCCGUUUCGGGAUUGUACUGUUUAUAUGUGUGUAUAAUUCAAAAUAUUAAUUCAACAAACAUAAUUUCAAUUCAAAUUGAAAGAUAAACUAACUUGAAAUUAUGCUUUUCAAAUUUUAAACACAAGUAAAAAAAAAGGGAGUUGAAUCAAUAUGACUCGAUCAACUAAAUGGGUUUGAAGAUAGUCUGAACGAUUGGUAAAAAUAUAGUUUGACUAAAACAAAUUCAAGAUUACAUAUUUUUUCUUAAAAAAUAUUAAGACGAGAAUAUAUUGGAUCGAUUCAGGUUAACCUUUCAAAUUCGUGACCUCGAUAAUGAGACCAUGAUAACCCUAAAUAAAACAAACCAAAAUAAGUUAUGAAUCUCAAUUACAAGUAAACCCAUUAUUGAAUGAUGAAAGUAGUAAAAAUUCAAUCUAAAAAAAAACAAUAAAAUAACCUUUUUGAACAAAAUUACAAAUUUGAAUAAAAUUAUAAAAAUAUCAUCAGCAGUCUUGCAAGACCUUUUUAAACUCUCAUUACCCUAAAAGUUUAACCUGAGAUUAAAUAAUAUGCAAAGAGAUUCCUCGUAAAAUUUUAACCCGAUUCAUCAGUCGGAUUAAAAGAUGCAAUUGAUACCGUAAAAUUAGAGAGUUUUUUUUUAAAAAAAAAGCAAAAAAAAAAAAAACACUAUUUGGCCGGAAUGGAACCGGAAUGUUCCAGCCAAAACGAAACCAGAACAUUCCGGCUGAGAUUUCCAAAACAGGCCGAGAUUCUGAUUGAGAUGAAAUUUAUUUCGGUUUAUUUUGUUUUUUAAGCUGGAACAAGAAUACUAGUCAUUCCGGACAGAACAAAAUGGAAUUAACAACCUUGGUAUAACCAUUUUGAGAUAUCUAAACCCCUAUUCCAAUCAAAUCAACGGAUCCAUCCCUUUGGAAAUAUGGAACUUGACAAAUUUGGAAGCCAUAGAUCCCGAUUCAAACAAUAUCAGCGGUUCCAUUCAUUCCAGAGUAGGCAGUUUAACCAGUUUGAGAUAUCUUGACCUGUCUUCCAAUCAAAUCAACGGAUCCAUCNNNNNNNNNNNNNNNNNNNNNNNNNNNNNNNNNNNNNNNNNNNNNNNNNNNNNNNNNNNNNNNNNNNNNNNNNNNNNNNNNNNNNNNNNNNNNNNNNNNNUCAUCGAGACAUAUCAAACAAUAUUGUUCUGUUGAUUCAGAAUCCAAGUCUUUUGUUGCUGAUCUUGGUGUGGCUAGACUUCUCGAUCCUGAUUCGUCGAAGCAUACCGUACUUGCUGGUACCUAUGGAUACAUUGCCCCACUUAAAACUAUUUCUUCUCAAUAGACAUUGAUGGGAAGGCAUCCGGGAAAUUCCUAUCAUCAUAUGCUCAGGUUAUUACACUAAAAGAAGUGUUAGAUCCUCGUUUGUCACCUCUAACACAAAAAAUUGUCAUACAAAAUAUAUGUAUCAUUGCAACUCUGGCAUUUUCUUGCUUACUUUCGAAUCCAAAAUCUUGACCUUCAAUGAAAUUCAUGUCUCAAGAAUUUUAUCUCGUAAGAGAUCAUUGUGGCAGGUCUUGAGAUUUCUUUGCUGAAGCUGCGAAAUCUUAGCAUGCACAUAAAUGUAGGAGAGAUCAUGGUUCCUUGCUGAAAAUAUCAACUUUGAUCUCAUAUUGAACUGAGCAAGAGCCUCGAAGAGCAUGCAUGUUUGAUAAUGUUUUCACUAUUUCCACUUCAUCUACAAGACGUGGGCAAUUCGGAUUGACUAAGAAUCAAAUCCACAAAUUAAUGGCACGUACGAUGAUCAGAAUACCACUAUGUAUUAGCAUUAUUUUUCUACUCGGUCUCUUUCCAUGAAAAUCAGGGAGAAUACAAUUAACUGAUUGGCCUUCUUAAUUUCCAAAAUCCACUAUUGGUGAUUUGUAAGCCUUUUUCUUAAUCACAACGCGUGAAAGACCAGUGAAAGACCAGAGGAACUUGACUUGGAAUGAGUUCAUGAAAAAACCAUGCACUUCAUUCAUAAACUUAGCAUUAUCAUAGCAUUAGACACAAACAUGGCAUCCAUUGAUUAUGAGCCAAAACUUCUUGCAAUUUUAAGCAUCUCAAUUUUCUUGUCCUGUAUUUUUGUAUCUGUGGCUGCACUUGACUCAGCCUUGCUAGCAUCAGAAGGAAAGGCUUUGGUUGAGAGUGGAUGGUGGAGUGUCAACAGAAACCUCAUCUCAUUUCGUUGCAUGUGGCUUGGCAUAGUUUGUGAUCGGGCUGGAAACAAAUCCCAAGCAGCUAUUGAGUCUUUUUAUACCAGCGCGGGAUUUCAAAUUCUUGCAAGAAUCGUACACGAUUGGAUGGUAAUAUCACUAACGAUCCAUUUUUUAUUUUCCUAUAAUUAUUUUUAAAGUUGUUUUUUAUUUAAAAAUAUAUUUAAAUAAUAUAUAUAUAUAUAUAUAUAUAUUUUAAAAAAUUUAUUUUUAACAUCAAUAUAUAAAAAAAAUCUAAAAUAAUUUAAAACAAUAAAAUAAAAUAAAAUAAUUAUUUUUUUAAAUACUUUUAAAAUCCAAAAAUAAACAACAACCUGACUCUAAAAUUACCAGAAUCCACAAACAUUGUAAUAUUAUUAAUUUUAAUUUUAAUUUAUACUAUUUUUUUGUUCUUAUCUUUAUUCUUUUGUAAUUUAUUUUCUUAAAAAAAUAUUAUAUAAAGACUAAAAAAUGAUAUUUCAAUAUAGCAAUUGCAACAUUGUUCUAUUUUUAUAUUACAUUAAAAAUAAGCUUGAGAUUUUACAUUUCUUUACUAACACAUAUAAUCUUCAUUAUGUUUUAUUAUAUGUAAGCUUUAACUUUUUAUUUCAAAAUUAUAUUUUUUACUCGCCAUCAAAAAACACGUUAAUAACAUUCACACAUUAAUUCAUUUACGUUAGAAAAAAACAAUAAUCAACUUGCAGCUAGGCAAAUAGAAUAGACACGUUAAUAUUUUUUUUUCAUUUAUCAGCAGAGAUAAUUCUCGAUUUAUUUAAUUAAAUGCAUGUAUAUGUCUUUUGAUUUACAAUUAGAUUUCUUUUUGUACAAAAACACAUUUGAAAAGCUUGCAUAUGUUUUUUCUUCCAAAGAAAUUAUCUGACCCGCAGAGAAGUGCAUGUCAAAUAACUAGUAUUAUAAACUAAAAGAGGUGAUGAUUUUAUUGUAUAUCACCUUACAAAACACUAUUCAUUUUAAUAGUGUUUUUUUUUUUUCAAAUCUAUGUUUCUCCCCAAUUUCAUACUUCAACAUUUAAUUUAUUGGAGCUUGGGGUUCAUAAUUUAUUAUGUUUGCUUUAUACGAGGUUAGCCUAGUCUCAUAAUCUAUGUCAUCCUUCAACAUUGUUCAUUUGAGUUUUUUUUAAUAGAUAUGUUUUUUCAAUCUCAUCCUUCAACAUUGUGUUGAUUGAGAAUUAUGCUUAAUGAUUUAUUUUAGUUUAUUUUUUAUGAGGUUAUCACGAUUUCAUGACUCGAGUUACGAGUUUGGUGGGUUAACCCAUUUGACUCGAGUUUUUUUUCAUGUUUUUUUUAAUUGAUAUUUUUAUAAUUUUAUCUUUCAGCAUUGAAUUGAUUAUGAAUUAGACUUCAUGAUUUAUUUUAGCUUGUUUUCUAUGAGCUUAUCUCGAUCUUAUGACUUGGGUCACGUGUUUUGCAGGUUAACCCGUGUAGACUAAGGUUGUUUUAUUGUGUCCUGUUUUUAGAUUGAAUUUUUUUUCUUCAAUUUCAACCUUCAACAAUAGGUUUAUUGAAUAUUGAGCUUUAUAAUUUGUUUUGAUUUGCUUCUAUGACUCAUGUUAUUUUUUUGUUUACUUUCUAUAAGGUUAUUUUGAUUUCUUGACCCGGAUCACGAGUUUGACAAUUUAACUCGGGUUAUUUUUUUUUGUCAUUUUUUAUUUUUUUUUCAAUUUUAUUCUUUAGCAUUUGAUUGAUUUGGAAUAAGGCUUCAUAUUUUUGUUUUGGUCUUGCUUUUUAUAAAGUUAUCCCGGUCUCAUUACCAGGGUCAUAGUUUGAUGAGUUAACCCGAGUUGACUUAGGUCUUUUUUGUUUUUAUUUUUUUAAUUUUAUCCCUAAAAAUUGAGAUUUCUUAUCUCGAGUCGUAGGUCAACUCAGGUUUGUUUGUCAUUUGUUUAGUUUAAUUUUUUUUUCCUUAAUUUAUCCUUCAAUAUUGGGUUGAUUUGAGAUUAAGCUUCAUAUUUGUUUUUACUUUCUAUGAGGUUAUCUCGAUCUUAUUACAUAGGUUACGAGUCUGACUGGUUAACUUGAGUUGACUCAAUCUUUUUAAUUGUUUUUUUUUUCAAUUUCAUCCUUCAACAUUGGAUUGAUCGAAAAUUGAACUUCAUAAUUUGUUUUGAUUUGUUUUAUAUAGAGUUAUCUCAGUCAUAUGACACGAGUUGUAGUUUUGACAGGUUAACACAAGUUGACUUUAGUUGUUUGUUUUUUGGUCUCUUUUUUUAUUGAUUUUUUUUUAAUUUUAUCUUUUAACAUUGAUUUAAUUGGGAAUUGAGUUUUAUAUUUGGUUUUGAUUUGCUUUCUAUGUGGUUGUUCCGGUCUUAUGAUUCGGAUUGAGAAUUUGACAAGUUGACCCGAGUUGAUCCAAAAUAUUUUCAACUCAAUAUUUUUUUUAAAACUUGCCAUCUUAAAUUUUUUUAGUAAAACAAUAUUUUUAACAGUUUUUCAGGUUGUCUUUGGAUCUGUUAAGUUAACCGGGUCAUAUCAAGUUAACCCUUACAUGUUUUAAUUUUUUUCAACUAGAAAACACGUUAAUAACACCUAGAUAUUUUUUGCAUUAAAAAAAUUAAUCUGACGUGCAACAUAGUGCGGACAAUGAUCUAGUCUACUCUAUUUAUGAAAGUAAGGGUCCAAGGGGUUGUUUGAGAGUGUGGUAGUGAUUAUUUUUCAAAGUGUGUUUUGCUCAGAAAUGCAUUAAAAUAAUUUUUUUAUAUUUUUUAAAAAUUAUUUUUGAUACCAACACAUUAAAAUGAUCUAAACACAAAAAAAAAAUAUUAAUUUGAAAAAAAGAAAAAAAUUGCAAAAUUAUUUUAAAAAUACUUUUGAUAGGCAAAAAAAAAAAAAAAGAGACCUUAAAAGAGAUGGAAUAAGGAUAGACUAAGAAUGAAAUCCACAAAUUAAUGACAAGAGGAUCAUAAAACAUGUAUUUGGAUUAUUUUCUGCUCGAUCUCUUUCCAUGAAAGUCAGGGAGAAUAGAUUAACUGACUGCCCUUCUUAAUUUCCAAAUGAUACUAUUGGUGAUUGGUGAACCUUUUUCUCCUUUGCCUUAGUUAUUGGAAUUGAUAGAAUUAAAAGUCCUGCAGUGAACGCAUGGACCCAUGGAUCAUCUGUGGUUUCAAAAGACAGAAAGAAAAGUACACAUGAAACACAGACGAUCUUGACUUGGAACGAGUCCAUGAAAAAGCCAUGCACUUCAUUCAUAAACUUAGCAUUAUCAUUGAAGGCAAGCAUUACACGCAAACAUGGCAUCCAUUGAUUAUGAGCCAAAACUUCUUGCAAUUUUAAGCACCUCAAUUUUCUUGUCCAGUAUUUUUGUAUCUAGUACUGGUCUUGUGGCUGCACUUGAUGACUCGGCCUUGCUAGCAUCAGAAGGCAAGGCUUUGGUUGAGAGUGGAUGGUGGAGUGACUACAGCAACCUCACCUCACAUCGUUGCAACUGGACUGGCAUAGUUUGUGAUGGGGCUGGAAGCAUCACUAAGAUUUCCCCACCUCCAGAGUUCCUCAAGGUGGGAAAUAAGUUUGGAAAGAUGAACUUUUCUUGCUUCUCAAACCUUGUCCGUCUCCACCUGGCCAACCAUGAGCUCAGUGGGAGCAUCCCGCCUCAAAUUUCUAUCCUUCCACAACUCAGAUACCUCAACCUGUCCUCAAAUAAUCUAGCAGGUGAGUUACCGUCUUCACUUGGAAAUCUCAGCCGAUUAGUUGAGCUUGAUUUUUCUUCCAAUAAUUUAACCAAUUCCAUCCCUCCAGAACUAGGCAAUCUUAAAAAUCUUGUUACUUUGAGCUUGUCUGAUAACAUCUUCAGCGGCCCAAUCCCUUCGGCACUUUGUCAUUUGGAAAAUCUAAGGCAUUUAUUUAUGGAUCAUAAUAGUCUCGAAGGUGCCCUCCCUAGAGAAAUAGGGAACAUGAAAAAUCUAGAGAUUUUGGACGUGAGUUAUAAUACACUUAAUGGUCCAAUCCCUCGAACAAUGGGUAGUUUAGCCAAGUUGAGGUCUUUGAUCCUUUCUCGCAACGCAAUCGAUGGAUCCAUUCCUUUGGAAAUAGGAAAUUUGACGAACCUUGAAGAUUUAAAUCUUUGCUCUAAUAUCCUAGUUGGUUCAAUUCCUUCAACGAUGGGUCUUUUACCCAACUUGAUUUCUCUAUUUCUUUGUGAGAACCAUAUCCAAGGAUCCAUUCCUUUGAAAAUAGGAAAUUUGACGAAUCUAGAAUAUUUAGUUCUUGGCUCUAAUAUCCUAGGUGGUUCAAUUCCUUCAACUUCGGGCUUUUUAUCCAAUUUGAUUUUUGUAGAUAUUUCCAGUAACCAAAUCAAUGGACCCAUCCCCUUAGAAAUAGGAAAUUUGACGAAACUACAAUAUUUAAAUCUUGAUGACAACAAGAUCACUGGUUUGAUUCCUUUUUCAUUAGGCAAUUUAAGAAACUUGACAACUCUAUAUCUCUCUCACAACCAAAUCAACGGAUCCAUCCCUUUAGAAAUACAGAACUUGACAAAGUUGGAAGAAUUAUAUCUGUAUUCAAACAAUAUCAGUGGCUCGAUUCCUACUACAAUGGGCCGUUUAACCAGUUUGAGAUUUCUAUCCCUCUAUGACAACCAAAUCAACGGAUCCAUCCCUUUGGAAAUACAGAACUUGACAAAGUUGGAAGAAUUAUAUCUGUAUUCAAACAAUAUCAGUGGCUCGAUUCCUACUAUAAUGGGCAGUUUAAGAAAACUAAACCUUUCUCGAAACCAAAUGAAUGGACCCAUCUCUUCAUCUUUGAACAAUUGUAAUAAUUUGACCUUGCUAGAUUUGAGCGGCAAUAAUUUAAGUGAAGAGAUACCCUACAAUCUAUAUAAUUUGACCUCUUUACAAAAAGCGAAUUUUAGUUACAAUAAUCUCUCAGGCCCUGUUCCCUUGAAUUUGCAACCACCCUUUGAUUUUUAUUUCACAUGUGAUUUACUUCUUCAUGGGCAUAUUACCAACGAUUCUGCAACUUUUAAAGCUACUGCAUUUGAGGGCAACAGAUAUUUACACCCUGAUUUCUCAAACUGUUCGUUACCUUCAAAAACCAACAGAAUGAUUCAUUCCAUCAAGAUAUUACUUCCUAUCACUGCCAUUUCACUUUGUCUCUUGUGUCUCGGAUGUUUUUAUCUAUCUCGAUGCAAGGCUACCCAACCUGAGCCAACAUCAUUAAAGAAUGGAGACUUGUUUUCCAUAUGGAAUUAUGAUGGGAGGAUUGCAUACGAAGACAUCAUUGCAGCGACCGAGAACUUUGACCUCAGAUAUUGUAUCGGAACCGGUGGUUAUGGGAAUGUCUACCGAGCACAACUUCCAAGUGGGAAAUUAGUUGCCUUGAAGAAACUUCAUCGUCGAGAGGCAGAGGAGCCGGCUUUUGACAAGAGUUUAAAAAAUGAGGUGGAACUGCUCACACAAAUACGUCACAGGAGCAUUGUAAAGCUUUAUGGAUUCUGUUUACACCAGCGCUGCAUGUUUCUUGUUUACGAGUACAUGGAAAAGGGAAGCUUGUUUUGUGCCUUGAGAAAUGAUGUUGGAGCCGUGGAACUGAAGUGGAUGAAAAGAGCACACAUCAUCAAAGACAUUGCUCACGCAUUAUCUUACUUGCAUCAUGAUUGCAACCCACCAAUUGUUCAUCGAGACAUAUCAAGCAGCAAUGUUCUGUUGAAUUCAGUAUCCAAGUCUUUUGUUGCUGAUUUUGGCGUGGCUAGACUUCUCGAUCCAGAUUCGUCCAACCAUACUGUACUUGCUGGUACCUAUGGAUACAUUGCCCCAGGUCAAAUAUUUCUUCUUUAUAUACGUGUAUCACUCAUGUCAUGCACACCAACAUUAAAGCAAACUCUCUCUUAUAUAUAUUUUUUUAAUUUCAUUUUGUUUAUGGACAGAGCUGGCUUAUACUAUGGUGGUGACAGAGAAAUGUGAUGUCUAUAGCUUUGGAGCAGUGGCGCUAGAAACGUUGAUGGGAAGGCAUCCAGGAGAUAUCCUAUCAUCAUCUGCUCGGGCUAUUACACUGAAAGAAGUGUUAGAUCCUCGUUUGUCACCUCCGACAGAUGAAAUUGUCAUACAGAAUAUAUGUAUUAUUGCAACUCUGGCAUUCUCUUGCUUACAUUCGAAUCCAAAAUCUCGACCUUCAAUGAAAUUCGUGUCUCAAGAAUUUCUAUCUCCCAAGAGAUCACUGGCAGGUCUUGAGAUUUCUUUGCUGGAGCUGCGAACUCUUGGCAUGCACGCAAAUGGAGGUGAUAUCACAGUUCCUAGUUGAAAAUGUGAACUUUGAGCUCACAUUGAAGUUUAUAAUAUUUCUUAAUUUUGGAAGAACUUCUUUCUUUUAGUACAUUAAAUGUCUUUAUAAUAUUUUAGGGUGACAUUGUAUGUAAUUUUAACAAUGCACACUUUUCUCGUGUACUGUAAAAUCAAUUAGAGCAUCACUGUCUAGGUUAAAUUGAAAUCAUCACUCAUCUUACAAUUAGGCAAAUCCCCACUUGAAAUAUGCAGAAGAUAUUUGUUAACUCCAUUUGUGCCUGCAAGCUCUUGUAUAUUGGAUGCCUGAAAGCAGUGUUUGGAGAUUGAUUUUUUUUCUGACUGAUGUGCUUUGGUAUUGAUCAUUUGGCACAGAUGGGAUUUUCAAUCAUCUUCCAAAGGAAUACCACUUCAAGAUUUAUGUCUCAUGUUUGGAACCGAAAGAAGUUAAAAGAGAGAGUUUUUGUUGUCUCAGAGACAUUUACUAACAGAAAAAAUGAUUUCUUCGUAUCAGCCUCUGGUUUAUAAAUAAAAGAAUGGAACCAGGUUUUUAAGUUGAAAUUCUUUACCAUGAUACCACAUUGAUCAUCCUUAUUCCCCUUCAUGAUAUCUUUAAAUGAGAAAAAGCUUGGAGUGCGCAACUGUCCUGAUGAAGGGCAAUCCUCAGUGUUGCACGUCCCCGCACGGUGAUUUGGUGAUUUUUCACGGUGAUUCGGCAAUUUUUCAUUAUGUUUCCUUGAUUGGUUAUUUAAGAGUCGCCAUCUAGUAUUUGAUUAAAAACUACUAGAAAACCUGAAUAUACUGAUCUUUGUCAGAAAUUUAAAGAUAAGAAACUAAUUAUGACUAAAAAAUAUAUUAGCACCCCUAACACACCCUACCUGAGAUAAGCUGCUUUGUAAUUUGAUGUUCCUUAAGAUAUUUAAUCAUAUUCAAAUUAAACACUUAGUUUUUUUUAUCUUUUUUAUUUUUACAAUUUAAUAACAUAAAUAAAAUACAAACACACACCAACAUUCCUUUUUUACUAUCCUCAACUCACACAUCACUUUUACAUAUUACAAAAUAUCAAAACAAAUCAAAUACUAUAAUCUAAAUAUACACAGCAACAUUUGAAAAUUACAAAAAGCUUCGGGAACGGUGCUGGAGCACUCUGGGCAUCUUCUGUGAUUGUGUACAGUGGCGGCGCGUCUCCUCCACGCGCCGCCGCGAAAUCCGGGCGGCAGCGGAGAUCCAUAAUGGCUUCCUCCCUUCUUCCUUUCUUCGCCGGCGAUGGGCACCACCGUUACCUGCAAAACAACCAAACGCAGCAAGCAAGUCUGUUGUAGCUUUUUCUUUGUUUUCAGUCCGGCUUUUCUUCCUUCCGAUCUGCCAAAUCUGGAGACGGGCGUUGCACGCGCCGCCAGCAGACCAGGCGUGUGGAUGGCUGGAUCGGCAACUUCCCUCCUCCCAUUUCAUUUCUGCAACGGCGGUGUUGUCCACCGCUGUCAUGGUCGUGAGAUCGGCGCCCAUCCAGGUUUCGGUUCUCUGCCCCUUCUUUACUGCCCUUCGGCCUUCCUUCUCAUUUCCUCAUCGUCUCUGGAGAAGGGAUGCUGCCGCUGGCCGAUUGAUGGUGGUUAGCCGAGAGAGGGUCUGAAAGUCUGUUGAUGAGGGAAUAGAUGGUAUUCUCGGCUGGAGGUUUCAGUCGGCUGAGAGGGGGUAAAGUGAGGGGGACGGCCGGCUGGCUUGUUUUUGACAGAGGGCCAGGGGGCCACGGCCGGCCUCUGGUUCUGGGAGCGCCGAGAGAGGGAGGCCGUGGAGGCCGGUGUGCAGGGGAGGUUAGUCUGUGGGCGGCUGAAGAGGGAAGACAAAAUGGCCAAGGGGAGAAGGUGGCCGAGAGGGACAGGGGAGGCUUGCGGCUGUUUUCGUGCUCCCUGAUGCUCUUUUAGCCAAGGGAAGGGCCAAGCUCUGGCUGGUUUCGGGAGAAGGAAAAUGAGGAGAGGCAGGGGGUUUUGCCGUGGCUUUGGUUCUCUUUGUUUUUAGCCAAGGGAGGGGGCAGCCUUGUGAGGGAGAAGAAGAUGGGGAGUGGGUGGUCGCCUGCUUGGAGAGGGAGAGUGGCGGCUCAAACAGGGAAAGAGAGCUUCUCUGUAGGGAAAUGGGGAGCCGACUACAAUAGCAGAGAGGGGUUCUGGUUUCUCCAAGGGAGGGGCGGCCGAGAGCUGGAAUCAGUUUAGGUUUAGGGUUUUUUAGUUUUUGUUCCCCAAAAUUGUCUCCGCCUCCAUGCCUGUAAAAUUUUUCUCUCCUCUCCCCCUUUUUUUUUCACUGUAGCAUGUUAUUUAUAAAAGAAGUUUUGCUAGGUCUUCAAACUAAUCCCUCAACUUUUCAUUUCCUUUUUUUUUUUGUAAAUUUUAAUUUUUUUAAUUUUUUUUAUUUUUAAAAGCAAGCAAUAUCAACAUCAACUCAACAAGAAAAAUCAAUGAUCAUAAAAUUUACACGUUAAAAGUUGAACGCGUUCCAAAUAGCUUUGAAAAUUUAAAUUUUUUUGAGAUAACGUUGAAAAUGCUAAAAACGAUGCAAAUAUAUUAAAAAUAUAUUUUUUAGUAUUUUUUUACUAUUUUUUGGUUUUUUCUGUAAAUUUAUUAAAAAUUGGAUAGCAACACUCAGGACCAACAUCUGUCAUCUCUUUCUGAGGGCAAAGCCCAACCCCAAAACUUGCUUGCCGGAGCACACAACAUCAGGCUCUUAUUAUCAUAUGCUUCACCACUGCACCACCCCUCCGAGCCGUGAAACAACCUCAUUUUCGAAACCUUUCCUCGGUAAAUUAACAUGCUCACAAGUAACCUGAUUAAAGAUCACAGUAGGAUUAAAAGGGACGAAUCACCGAAACAUAAAAAACCAUCACUGAAAUUAAGAACAAUGAGAUUACUACUAGUAAGUCUAAGUUAUUGCUGGAAUGGAGAAUGGGGCGAUAGUAAUCAAACAUUACAAGGUGUUCAUGGACAUGAUAACUAGAAUUGAGUUAAAUUUAUGUUUUAAUACAUAAAAACGUACUUAAUAAUUUUUAUUUUUAAAAUAAUGAUAUAAUAAUCAAAAGCAAAGCAAUGGUAAAUGGCUAGUUCAGAAAAAGCUUGACGGAGCUGAACAAGAUUGAAAAGAAAACAAUAGUUUUUUUUUUUUUUAAAAAAAAAGGUUUGAGAUACUCCAGAGCUAAUUUAUCACAUGAAGACAAAAUAAUUCUCAAUAAUAAUCAAAUAAAUUACAAGAAAAAUAAAUGUUUUCUAGGCCUAAUACAACUUAAUUGUUUAUACUACUAGUUAUAAAAAUAAAUUACAACUUGUUUAAAUAAGUAUUCAACUUAUUUUUACUGAAAAUAAAAAUUCUAAAAUAACCAGAAAAAAUAAAGAAAAAAAAUCCAAAUACAUGUAGAAAAAUUAAGAAAAUAAUGUUGUCUAGGCCUAAUAUGAAAGCCUUCUUGACCUUAACUUGUUACAGUAGCAACCCAUUAAUUAUAAAACAAGGCAUUUAGAAUAUACCGGUAAAAUUCAAAUAAUAUCUAACGACAAGAGCUUAUUUUCGUUAAAAAAUAUUAUUUGGAGCAUCAGAUAUUUUUCUUGAACUUCGAUAGGUCCAUAUAGUCAAUAAAUCGUAUAUGCUAAAUGUUUUAAAUAUAUAGUCUAAUUAUAACAAAUGAUUAUAUGACAGUUCAUAUUCACCUGCAUGAAAGCUCUAUAUAUAUACCCAUUAUCUUGGUGACAAUUGACAAGUCUCAUAAUCUAUGUUGCGAGUUUGGUGGGUUAACUUGAUUGAGUUGAGUAUUUUUUUUUAAUUGAUAUUUUUUUCUAAUCUCAUCCUUCAACAUUGAGUUGAUUGACAAUUAUACUCAUGAUUUAUUUUGGUUUGUUUUUUAUGAGGUUAUCUUGAUUUCAUGAUUCGAGUCGCGAAUUUGACGGGUUAACUCAGUUGACUCGAGUUUUUUUUUUUAAUUUUUUUAAUUGGUGUUUUUUCAAUUUUAUCUUUCAGCAUUGAGUUGAUUAUGAAUUAGACUUAAUAAUUUAUUUUUGUUUAUUUUCUAUGAGAUUAUCCCGAUCUUAUGACUUGGAUCACAUGUUUUGCAAGUUAACUCGUGUAGACUGAGGUUGUUUUAUUGUAUCUUGUUUUUAGGUUGAUUUUUUUUUCUUUAAUUUCAACCUUCAACAAUGAGUUUAUUGAAAAUUGAGCUUUAUAAUUUUUUUUAUUUACUUUCUAUGACUUAGGUUAUUUUUUUAUUUACUUUUUAUAAGGUUAUCCUGAUUUCUUGAUCCGGAUCAUGAGUUUGACAGUUUAACUUAGAUCAAUUUUUUUUGUUAUUUUUUAUUUUUUUUUCAAUUUUAUCCUUCAACAUUUGGUUAAUUUGGAAUCAGGCUUCAAAGUUUUUUUGGUCUUGCUUUCUAUAAAGUUAUCCUAGCCUCUUUACCAGGGUCACAAUUUGGCUAGUUAACCUGGGUUGACUCAUGUUUUUUUUUUUUAAUUUCAUCCCUAAACAUUGAGAUUUUUUAUCUCGAGUCGUAUAGGUCAACUUAGGUUUGUUUGUUAUUUUUUUAGUUUAAUUAUUUUUUUUCAAUUUUAUCCUUUAACAUUUGGUUGAUUUGGGAUUAAGCUUCAUAUUUGUUUUUGCUUUCUACGAGGUUAUUUGGUCUUAUUAUAUAGGUCACGAGUUUGGUUGGUGAACUUGAAAUGAUUCAGUUUUUUUUAAUUGAUUUUUUUCAAUUUCAUCCUUCAACAUUGGAUUAAUUGAGAAUUAAACUUUAUAACUUAUUUUGAUUUGUUUUAUAUUGAGUUAUUUCAGUCAUAUGACCCGGGUUGUAGCUUUGACAGGUUAACCUGAGUUGUUUGUUUUUUGGUCUCUUUUUUUAAUUGAUUUUUUUUUUAAUUUCAUCUUUUAACAUUGGUUUAAUUGAGAAUUGAGUUUUAUAUUUGAUUUUGAUUUACUUUCUAUAUGAUUAUUCUGGUCUUAUGAUUCGAGUCGUGAAUUUGAUAGGUAACCCAAGUCGAUUCAAUAUGUUUUCAUCUCGAUAUUUUUUCAAAAACAUGCCGUCUUGAAUUUUUUUAAUAAAACCAUAUUUUUAACGGUUUUUCAAGUUGUUUUUUGACCCGUUAAGUUAACUAGGUCACUUCAACUUAACCUAUAUAUGUUUUAAUUUUUUUCAACUAAAAAACAUGAUAAGAACACGUAGAUAGUUUUUAACUUUUAAAAAAUUAAUCUGACCUGCAGUACAGCAAGUAGCACUACUCUAUUUAUGAAAGUAAGGGCCUAAAAGACGUGUGCAAUGCGGAUCGACUGAAAUCCACAAAUUAAUGGCAAGAGGAUCAGAAUACAUGUAUUUGGAUUAUUUUCUGCUCGAUCUCUUUCCACGAAAAUCAGGGAGAAUAGAUUAACUGACUGGCCUUCUUAAUUUCCAAAUGAUCAUGCUAUUGGCGAUUGGUGAACCUUUUUCUCCAUUGUGGAAAAAGAAAAAAAAACUAGCUAGACAAUCUGAAGCUAUUGUCUUAGGCAUUGGAAUUGAUAGAAUGAAAAGUCUUGCAGUGGACGCAUAUGCCCAUGCAUCAUCUUUGGUUUCAAAAAGACAGUAAGAAUAGUACACGUGAAAGACCAGAGGAACUUGACUUGGAACGAUUUCAUGAAAAAACCAUGCACUUCAAUCAUAAAUUUAGCAUUAUCAUUGAAGGGAAGCAUUACACGCAAACAUGGCAUCCAUUGAUUAUGAGCCAAAACUUCUUGCAAUUUUAAGCAUCUCAUUUUUCUUGUCCUGUAUUUUUGUAUCAAGUACUGGUCUUGUGGCUGCACUUGAUGAUUCAGCCUUGCUAGCAUCAGAAGUCAAGGCUUUGCUUGAGAGUGGAUGGUGGAGUCAAUACAGCAACCUCACCUCACAUCGUUGCAAGUACUGGCCUGGCAUAUUUUGUAAUAGGGCUGGAAGCAUCACUAAGAUUUACCCACCUCCAGAGUUCCUCAAGGUGGGAAAUAAGUUUGGAAAGAUGAACUUUUCUUGCUUCUCAAACCUUGUCCGUCUCCACCUGCCCAACCAUGAGCUCAAUGGAAGCAUCCCGCCUCAAAUUUCUAUCCUCCCACAACUCAGAUACCUCAACCUGUCCUCAAAUAAUCUAGCAGGUGAGUUACCGUCUUCACUUGGAAAUCUCAGCCGAUUAGUUGAGCUUGAUUUUUCUUCCAAUAAUUUCAUCAAUUCCAUCCCUCCAGAACUAAGCAAUCUUAAAAAUCUUGUUACUUUGACCUUGUCUGAUAACAGCUUCAGCGGCCCAAUCCCUUCGGCACUUUGUCAUUUGGAAAAUCUAAGGCAUUUAUUUAUGGAUCAUAAUAGUCUCGAAGGUGCCCUCCCUAGAGAAAUAGGGAACAUGAGAAAUCUAGAGAGUUUGGACGUGAGUUAUAAUACACUUAAUGGUCCAAUCCCUCGAACAUUGGGUAGGUUAGCCAAGUUGAGGUCUUUGAUCCUUUCUCGCAACGCAAUCAAUGGAUUCAUCCCUUUAGAAAUAGGAAAUUUGACGAAUCUAAAAGAUUUACAGCUUAUAUCUAAUAUCCUAGUUGGUUCAAUUCCUUCAACGAUAGGUUUUUUAUCCGAUUUGACUAAUCUAGAUCUUUCUUAUAACGUAAUCAAUGGAUCCAUCCCUUCGCAAAUAGGAAAUUUGACGAAUCUAGAACAUUUAGAUCUUUCCUCUAAUAUCCUAGCUGGUUCAAUUCCUUCUACAUUUGGUUUUUUAUCCAAUUUGAUUCUUUUGCAUCUUUUUGACAACCAAAUCAAUGGAUCCAUCUCUUUAGAAAUAGGAAAUUUGACAAAUCUAUGUCGUUUGUUUCUCAAAGGCAACAAAAUCAGUGGUUCGAUUCCUAUUUCAUUAGGAGAUUUAAGAAACUUGGCAUUUCUAGACCUAUCUAACAACCAAAUCAAUGGAUCCAUAGCUUCAUCUUUGAAGAAUUGUAAAUAUUUGACCUAUCUAGAUUUGAGCUACAAUAAUUUAAGUGGACAAAUACCCUCCCAACUACAUAAUUUGCCCUCUUUAUCUUAUGUGAAUUUUCGUUAUAAUAACCUCUCAGGCUUUGUUCCCUUGCAAUUGCCACAACCCUUUGAUGUGUCUUUCACCUGUGAUUCUCUUCAUGGGCAAAGAACCAACAGUCCUGAAAUUUUUCAAGCUACUGUAUUUGAGGGCAACAAAGAUUUACACCCUGAUUUCUCACGUUGUUCAUCUAUUUACUCCCCACCUUCAAAAGACAACAGAAUAAUUCAUUCCAUCAAAAUAUUUCUUCCUAUCACCACCAUUUCACUUUGUCUCUUGUGUCUCGGAUGUUGUUAUCUGUCUCGAUGCAAGGCUACCCAACCUGAGGCAACAUCAUUAAAGAAUGGAGACUUGUUUUCCAUAUGGAAUUAUGAUGGGAGGAUUGCAUACGAAGACAUCAUUGCAGCGACCGAGAACUUCGACCUCAGAUAUUGUAUCGGAUCCGGUGGUUAUGGGAGCGUCUACCGAGCACAACUUCCAAGUGGGAAAUUAGUUGCCUUGAAGAAACUUCAUCAUCGCGAGGCAGAGGAGCCGGCUUUUGACAAGAGUUUAAAAAAUGAGGUGGAACUGCUCACACAAAUACGUCACAGGAGCAUUGUAAAGCUUUAUGGAUUCUGUUUGCACCAGCGCUGCAUGUUUCUUGUUUACGAGUACAUGGAAAAGGGAAGCUUGUUUUGUGCCUUGAGAAAUGAUGUUGGAGCCGUGGAACUGAAGUGGAUGAAAAGAGCACACAUCAUCAAAGACAUUGCUCACGCAUUAUCUUACUUGCAUCAUGAUUGCAACCCACCAAUUGUUCAUCGAGACAUAUCAAGCAGCAAUGUUCUGUUGAAUUCAGAAUUCAAGUCUUUUGUUGCUGAUUUUGGUGUGGCUAGACUUCUCGAUCCUGAUUCGUCCAACCAUACUGUACUUGCUGGUACCUAUGGAUACAUUGCCCCAGGUAAAAAUAUUUCUUCCUAACAUGCAUAUUUACCACUCAUGCACUGCAAAACUAAAGCAAACUCUCUUUAUAUAUAUAUUAAUUUCGUUUUGUAUAUGGACAGAGCUGGCUUAUACUAUGGCGGUGACAGAGAAAUGUGAUGUUUACAGCUUCGGAGUUGUGGCGCUUGAAACUUUGAUGGGAAGGCAUCCGGGAGAUAUCCUAUCAUCAUCUGCUCAGGCUAUUACACUGAAAGAAGUGUUAGAUCCUCGUUUGCCACCUCCAACAAAUGAGAUUGUCAUACAGAAUAUAUGUACCAUUGCAAGUCUGAUAUUUUCUUGCUUACAUUCAAAUCCAAAAUAUCGACCUUCAAUGAAAUUCGUGUCUCAAGAAUUUCUAUCUCCCAAGAGAUUAUUGGGAGGUCUCGAGAUUUCUUUCUUGGAACUGCGAAAUCUUGGCAUGCACACAAAUGUAGGUGAGAUCACAGUUCCUCGCUGAAAAAGUCAACUUUGAGCUCACCUGGAACUUCAACGAGAGCCUCCAAGAGCAUGCGUUUAUAGAAUUUCUUAAUUUUGGAAUAAUUUUUUUUUCUUUUGUUUUAGUACACUACAUGUCUUUGUAAUAUUUUAGUGUGACAUUGUAUGCAAUUUUAAUAAUGCACACUUUUCUUGUGCAUGAUAGCUAGUAUCAAUAUACAUGAGCAUCAUAUUAAGUACUCUACCUCUCUGUCUAGCAGGUUAAAUUGAAAUCAUCACUCAUCUUAUAAUUAGGCAAAUCCCCACUUGAAAUAUGCAGAAGAUAUUUGUUAACUCCAUUAAUUUGUCCCUGCAAGCUCUUGUAUAAGAGAUGUCUGAAAGCAGUGUUUGGAUCUACUCUCUACAGUCUGUUCUGACUUCUGUCACUAUCUGAGCAACAUGUUUUGCUCAAUAUUUAUUAUUUGGCAGAGAUUGAAUUUUCAAUCAUCUUCCACUUCAAGAUUUAUGUCUCAUGUUUGGAACCAAGCUUUGACUUCAAAGGAUGGUGAGUUGAGAUGUCCUCCCUCCAUUGUGUAAAUUUUGGAUAUCGGCUUGCCACAAAGUCGACCACCAUAUCUAUCUAGUAAUAAUACACAACAAUAUUGUAGCUGUACAAGAUGCCUAGCUAUAGAUUAUUUUCAGUCUCAGAGACAUUUACUAACAGAGAAAAUAUAUCAUAGUACGUAUCCGAUUAUGAGCACAUGAUUUCUUCGUAUCAGCAUCUGAUUUAUAAAAGGUUGAAACCAAUUUUUAAAGUUGAACUUUACCUUGUUAUCACAUUGAUCAUCCCAUUAAUUUCCCCUUCAUGAUAUCUUUAAAUAAGAAAAAGCUUGUAUAUGCUAAAUGUUUUACAUAGUCUAAUUAGAACAAAUGAUUAUAUGACAGUUCAUAUUCUCCUGCAUGAAAGCUCUAUAUACCCAUUAUCAUGGUGACAAUUGACAAGUCGCCGAUCCAAUUCUGCAAUUAUAUUAGAAUGCAAGGAUAAUAUAUUUAUUUAGGAUUUUAUUAAUUAUCUCAUGGCUAUGUAUAUUCAAUAAUUUCCUUUAAUGAUUACAGCUCCGCAUCAGUUUCUUUCUUGUUCGAGGUUUGUCGGGCCUUCUAUUGAACCAAAACAAAAACAAACUAUUCUAACAUGUCUACGAAACAAAGCCCAAGCAGCUAUCGGCUUAAGCCUUUUUAUACCAGCGCGGGAUUUCAAAUUCGUGCAAGAAUCGUACAGGACUGGUCGGCAAGAUCACUAACAAUCCAUUUUCUGAUUUGUUAGUAAUUAUUUUUUAAAAUAUAUUGAAAUAAUAUUAUUUUAUUUUUUAAAAUUUAUUUUUGAUAUCAUCACAUCAAAAAAAUCUAAAAUUAUUAAAAAUAAAUAAAUUAAUUUAAAGCAAAAAAUAAAAAAAAUAUUUUUAAAACGCAAAAAACAAACAAUAAACUGACUCUAAAAUUACUAGAAUUUACAAGUAUUGUAAUAUUAUUAAUUUUAAUUUAUACUAUUUUUUAUUCUUAUCUUUAUUAUUUUGUAAUUAUUUUCAUUGCAUAUGAAACUUCCGGUUCCACUUCACAAGAAAUAUUAUACAAAGACUAAGAAAAUGAUGUUUUAAUAUAGCAACUACAACGUUGUUCUAUAUUUAAACAACAUUAAAAAUGAGCUGAAAAUCUUAUAUUUCUUUAUUAACGUAUAUGAACUUCACUAUAUUAUAUUAUAUGUAAGCAUUAACCUUUUGUUUCACAACAAUAUUUUUUACUCGCCGUCAAAAAACAUGUUAAUAACACCUACAUAUUAAUUCAUCUGUGUUAGAACAAAAUAAUAAUCAACUUGCAACUACGCGAAUCGAAUAGACAUGCUAAUAUUUUUUUUGUAUUUAUUGGCAGAGAUGAUUCUUGAUUUAUUUUCUUACAUGCAUGUAUAUGCCUUUUGAUUUACAGUUAGAUUUCUUUUUGUACAAAAACACAUUUGAAAAGCUUGCAUGUGUUUUUCUUCCAAAAACAUUAUUUAGCCCGGAGAGGAGUGCAUUUCAAAUAACUAGUAGUAUAAACUAAAAGAGUUGAUGAUUUUAUUGUUCAUCACCUCACAAAACACUAUUCAUUUUAAUAGUGUUUUUCCCUCCUAAAUCUAUGUUUCUUCCUAAUUUUAUACUUCAACAUUUAGUUUAUUGGAGAUUGAGCUUUAUAAUUUAUUAUGGUUUACUUUAUAUGUGGUUAGCCUAGUCUCGUAAUCUAUGUCACGGGUUUAGCAGGUUAAUUCAGUUGAUUUGAGUUUUUUUUAAUUGAUUUUUUUUCAAUCCCAUCCUUUAGCAUUGGAUUGAUUGAUAAUUAUGCUUCAUAAUUUAUUUUGGUUUGUUUUUUAUGAGGUUAUCCUGAUUUAAUGAGUCGAGUCGCGAGUUUGGUGGGUUAACCCAGUCGACUCGAUUUUUUUUUUGUCUUUUUUUAAUUGAUAUUUUUCCAAUUUUAUUUUUCAAUAUUGAGUUGAUUAUGAAUUAGGUUUCAUUAUUUAUUUUGAUUUAUUUUCUAUGAAGUUAUCUUGGUCUUAUGAUUUGGGUCACGUAUUUUGCAGGUUAACACAUAUAGACUGAGGUUGUUUUAUUGUGUCCUAUUUUUAUAUUGAAUUUUUUUUCUUCAAUUUCAACCUUUAACAAUGAGUUUAUUGAAAAUUAAGCUCAUAAUUUGUUUUGAUUUACUUUCUAUGGAUUUAUCAGGUUGACCCGAGUUGACUCAUGUUAUUUUUUUGUUUACUUUCUAUAAGGUUAUCUUAAUUUUUUGACCCGGAUCACGGGUUUGACAGUUUAACUUAUGUCAUUUUUUUUUGUUAUCUUUUAUUUAUUUUUUUAAUUUUAUCCUUUAGCAUUUGAUUGAUUUGGAAUCAGGCUUCAUAUUUUUUUUGGUCUUGCUUUUUAUAAAGUUAUCCCGGUUUCAUUACUAGGGUUACAGUUUGGCGAGUUAACAUGGGUUGACUUAAGUCUUUUUUUUAUUAUUUUUUUUAUUUCAUCAUUAAACAUUAAGAUUUCUUAUCUUGAGUCACAUGUCAACUUAGGUUUGUUUGUCCUUAUUUAUUUAUUUCAAUUUUAUUCUUUAAUAUUUGAUUGAUUUGAGAUUAAACUUCAUCUUUAUUUUUAUUUUCUAUAAGCUUAUCUUAGUCUUAUUACAUAGUUCAAGAGUUCGACUGGUUAACCUGAGUUGACUCAGUUUUUUUUAAUUAAUUUUUUUUUCAAUUUUAUCCUUCAAUAUUGGAUUAAUUGAGAAUUAAAUUUUAUAAUUUUUUUUUAUUUGGUUUAUAAGGAGUUAUCUUAGUCAUAUGACUUAGGUUAUAGCUUUAACAGGUUAACCCGAGUUAACUCGAGUUGUUUGUUUUUUGAUCUUUUUUUUUAAUUUCAUCCUUUUACAUUGAUUUAAUUGAGAAUUGAGUUUCAUAUUUGGUUUUGGUUUGCUUUCUAUGUGGUUAUUUCGGUCUUAUGUUUUGGGUCGUGAAUUUGACAGGUUUACUCGGGUAGAUCUAAUAUGUUUUCGUCUCAAUAUUUUUUAAAAAAACAUGCCAUCUUGAAUUUUUUUAGUCAAACUAUAUUUUUAACGAUUUUCCAAGUUGUCUUUGAGCCCGUUAAGUUGACCUGAUCACAUCAAAUUAACCCCUACAUGUUUUAAUUUUUUUCAACUAGAAAACACAUUAAUGGCAUCUAGAUAUUUUUUGACGUUAAAAAAAUUAAUCCGACCUGCAACAUAGUGCAGACAAUAAUCUAGUCUACUUUAUUUUUGAAAGUAAGGGCCUAAAGGGAUAUUUGAGAGUGUGGUAGUGAUUAUUUUUCAAAGUACGUUUUGCUCGGAAAUGCAUCAAAAUAAUAUAUAUAUUUUUUAAAAAAUUAUUUUUAAUAUUAACAUAUCAAACUAAUAUGAAAACACUAAAAAAAAUUAUUAAUUUGAAGUAAAAAAAAAAUAAAAAAAUUUAAUUUUUUUCAAAAUAUUUUUGAAACCAAAAAAACAUACAAACCUUAAAAGAUGUUAAAAUUCGAAUAGACUUAGAAUGAAAUCCACAAACUAAUGGCAAGAGGAUCAGAAUACAUGUAUUUGGAUUAUUUUCUACUCGAUCUUUUCCCAAGAAAGUCAGGGAGAAUAGAUUAACUGACUGGCCUUCUGAAUUUCCAAAUGAUGCUAUUGGUGAACCUUUUUCUUCUUUGUGGAAAAAGAAAAGGACUAGCUAGACAAUCUGAAGCUAUUGUCUUAGGCAUUGGAAUUGAUAGAAUUAAAAGUCUUGCAGUGAACGCAUGGACCCAUGCAUCAUCUUUGGUUUCAAAAGACAAUUGUGUUGAAAUGCUGCAUUGUUGUAAAGUUAUUCAUCAUGGCCUUGCUUCAUUUUUAUUUUGCUGAGGUAAAAAAACUUAUGUUUGGGGAGCAUCCAGAUCAAAGAUAGAAUGCUUGUUCUUUUGAGUGGCAAAUUCUUGAGACCAAUAAAAACAGAGUAGUUUGAGAAAACAAUGACUCUUGGCAUUCCAUCAACUCACAUUGCUCAAAUUGCAUUUUAUUUGAAGGUGCCUGCUUCACUAUGACUGUUGGCAUUCCCUUUCUUCAUUUUUUAAUUUUUGGCGCUACGAGUUGUUUAACAAUGUAAGCUAGGCAGUAAACACCGGUUUUGGAGGCGCGUGACCUUCCUUAAGGGUUUUGACCACGCGCUUCCUUGGAUAUUUCUAUUAUCCAGAUGAGCUAGGCUACGAGGCUGUGUCUGAAUGAGAUUAUGGGCUCGUUAGCUGGGCCUUUUCCAUAUUGGCAAGUUCUGGACUCUUAUUGGGUUUUGCAUGUUGGCUUUGGCUCCGAUUUGAUGAUUUUUUGGUGAAUCUAUUUUAUCUAUAACGUAGUAAGUAAAUAGCUAUUCCCGGAAUAAUAAAGGAAUGUUGAAGUUGAUU